rnacentral:rRNA from 1 species
UGAGGAAUCUUGCGCAAUGGGGGAAACCCUGACGCAGCAACGCCGCGUGAGUGAGGAAGGCCCUCGGGUCGUAAAGCUCUGUCAGGUGGGAAGAAAUCGAUGAAGGUGAACAACCUCCAUCCUUGACGGUACCACCAGAGGAAGCACCGGCUAACUCCGUGCCAGCAGCCGCGGUAACACGGGGGGUGCAAGCGUUGUUCGGAAUCAUUGGGCGUAAAGAGCGUGUAGGCGGCCAGGCAAGUCAGAUGUGAAAGCCCUGGGCUUAACCCAGGAAGUGCAUUUGAAACUGCUUGGCUAGAGUAAGGGAGAGGAAAGUGGAAUUCCUGGUGUAGAGGUGAAAUUCGUAGAUAUCAGGAGGAACACCGGUGGCGAAGGCGACUUUCUGGCCCUAUACUGACGC